rnacentral:rRNA from 1 species
UGAGCAAUCUGCCCUUCUCAUCGGAAUAAGCGUUGGAAACGACGUCUAAUGCCGAAUACGACCUCCUUUCACAUGAUCGGAGGUGGAAAGCUCCGGCGGAGAAGGAUGAGCUCGCGGCCUAUCAGCUAGUUGGUGUGGGUAACGGCCCACCAAGGCGACGACGGGUAGCCGGCCUGAGAGGGUGACCCGGCCACACUGGGACUGAGACACGGCCCAGACUCCUACGGGGAGGNGGCAGG